UACAGAGGUCUCAAGCGUUGUUCGGAUUCAUUGGGCGUAAAGGGUGCGUAGGCGGCGCGGUAAGUCGGGUGUGAAAUCUCGGGAGCUUAACUCCGAAACUGCAUUCGAUACUGCCGUGCUUGAGGACUGGAGAGGAGACUGGAAUUUACGGUGUAGCGGUGAAAUGCGUAGAUAUCGUAAGGAAGACCAGUGGCGAAGGCGGGUCUCUGGACAGUUCCUGACGCUGAGGCACGAAGGUCAGGGGGAGCAAAACGGG
rnacentral:rRNA from 1 species